ensembl:lncRNA
AUAUUAAAUAUAUGAUAUACAAAUGUAUAUAUAUACAAACCAUUUUCGCGCCACAUCUUACGUCUCUUUGUUGUGUUAGUGUUGAGUGUCAGAGCGAAAGUUAAGCUAGUAUGAACUCCCUUAUAAUGAUUGACGGCUCUGAUGUAUCGGAUAUUGAUAAAACAUAAAAAAAUAAAUGGAGAUGGGUAUGGCUGACGGAAACGGGGAAUGAUGGCAAGCCUUUUUUAGAGAGUAAAAUAUGAGACAAGCUUUGCAAAAAAAAAAUCUUAGAGUCUAAUUGAAAAGACAACAAAAAAAUUGCAAUAGAUGCAAAAGAACAGCUGUUUAAAAUCCUCCUCCUGUAAAACAGUAUUGGUCGAGCAUUUAAACGUGAUGGCUGCAUUUGGUGCUGACGUCUUAUACAUUUGUAUUUCUUAAGCAGGUGUCAAGUAACCUAACCUGGAACAUGUUUCACACACUGCACGUGACUUGGCUGUAGCGCGAAUAAAAUUUCAGUCGGAAGAUUUUUUUUCACUUUAAUCCCUGUAAGUAGUUCUUAAAAAAAUCACAACCUUUCAGUCAAGGUUCAGAUUUUUUUCUAAUUAGUGAUACUUAGCAAGUGUGCAGGAAGUUUUAUUGUCUGCUCGAGUCCCGCUGGCUGUACUGUUGUUGAGCCGUGUUAACAUGUUUCGAUGGACGGGACGGCCUUGAGUAUAAAGCUGUUUUGCCUAACAUUCUUCCUUUCAAGGGACUAUGUGUUUAGUUUAGUGUGUUUCUUGUGUUAUAUUGCCAUAAAGAGAUGGCAUGUUUAAAAAUAAUAAUAAUUAGUAAAGCUGUUUAAAUGACUACUUGAAAUGAACAUGGAAAUGUUAUGAAUGUUCAGCAUUCAGCUUAAUAAAUAAUAUGGCGACUCCUACCCCCGGGGAGUCUGGGUAUUCAUAAUGUUUGGGGAAAAGGGGUUUUAUUGUCUUUGUAUAACUUGUUGUGUUAUUAGGUUAAGUGGGGUUAACGGGUUUGGGUUCUUUAUUGUUUGUGUGUUAAUUGUGAUGUGCAGUGUAACUCAUAAUACACAUGUCACAAUAACUCUAGAUAUAAGAGUUAUCUUUACUUACAUAAAAUAAUUGCUGGUACUUAAUUUAUUUGAGUUAGUAAACUUAAAUAGUUCAAGGCAAUCGGUUUCCUCAAAUAGUUUAAGUUGAACUAACUUGUCAGGUUUUACAGUGCAGGAUAACAGCUGACUGAUAUAAAGUUAUAACAGCUUAUUGUUAGUGUGAUGGUUUAGAGCAGGAUAACAGCUGACUGAUAUAAAGUUAUAACAGCUUAUUGUUAGUGUGAUGGUUUAGAGCAGGAUAACAGCUGACUGAUAUAAAGUUAUAACAGCUUAUUGUUAGUGUGAUGGUUUAGAGCUGGAUAACAUCUGACUGAUAUACAGUUAUAACAGCUUAUUGUUAGUGUGAUGGUUUAGAGCAGGAUAACAGCUGACUGAUAUAAAGUUAUAACAGCUUAUUGAUAGUGUGGUGGUUUAGAGCAGGAUAACAGCUGACUGAUAUAAAGUUAGAACAGCUUAUUGUUAGUGUGGUGGUUUAGAGCAGGAUAACAGCUGACUGAUAUAAAGUUAUAACAGCUUAUUGUUAGUGUGAUGGUUUAAAGCAGGAUAACAGCUGACUGAUACAAAGUUAUAACAGCUUAUUGUUAGUGUGAUGGUUUAGAGCAGGAUAACAGCUGAUAUAAAGUUAUAACAGCUUAUUGUUAGUGUGAUGGUUUAGAGCAGGAUAACAGCUGACUGAUAUAAAGUCAUAACAGC